rnacentral:rRNA from 1 species
AGGGUUUGAUCAUGGCUCAGAACGUACGCUGGCGGCACGCCUAAUACAUGCAAGUCGAACGAAGUAGCAAUACUUAGUGGCAGACGGGUGAGUAACAUGUGGGUAUCUUCCCUUUGGUGAGGAAUAACACGAGGAAACUUGUGCUAAUACCUCAUAAGUCUUUACAGAGAAAGCUUUAUGCGCCAUUGGAUGAGCCUGCACUUGAUUAGUUUGUUGGUGGGGUAAUGGCCUACCAAGACAAUGAUCAAUAGCUGAUUUGAGAGGAUGAUCAGCCACAUUGGGACUGAGACACGGCCCAAACUCCUACGGGAGGCAGCAGUAGGGAAUCUUGCACAAUGGAGGAAACUCUGAUGCAGCGAUGCCGCGUGAGUGAAGAAGGCCUUUGGGUUGUAAAGCUCUUUCGUCGGGGAAGAAAAUGACUGUACCCGAAUAAGAAGGUCCGGCUAACUUCGUGCCAGCAGCCGCGGUAAUACGAAGGGACCUAGCGUAGUUCGGAAUUACUGGGCUUAAAGAGUUCGUAGGUGGUUAAAAAAGUUGAUGGUGAAAUCCCAGAGCUUAACUCUGGAACUGCCAUCAAAACUUUUUAGCUAGAGUAUGAUAGAGGAAAGCAGAAUUUCUAGUGUAGAGGUGAAAUUCGUAGAUAUUAGAAAGAAUACCAAUUGCGAAGGCAGCUUUCUGG